GGGGUGAGGGCUUCUAGAAGGCCAGUUCACCUAGUUAAUACGGGCAAGUGAUGUCAACUGUCUAGACAGGUUAAGAUUGAGGAUUCAGGUUGAUGACUGACGUUUCUGUGCCAAGGACAAGAUGCCUGGGAGGCUCUAGCAAGAUAUGAUAUCUGGAGCUGGAGUGACCAACUUGUGACCAUGAGUCGACCAAAAGUCAACAAGCUAAGGACGGCUGAGUGGAAAGACAGAAACUGGCUUGGUGAAUUGCCCCCAAGACUGGAAAGUACGAGUUAAAGUCCACAUGGAAUGAAUGUGAUCGAACACUUGUUCUGCACCACCAUACAGUGCUUUGAGAGGACUGAGUUCAUCAGGUCACGCUUCUCACCUGGUGAAAAAAAUCCCAAGUGGAAAAAACCACAAUGACUCAUAGACGUGUGUAUCUCUGGAUGUCUUGCAGAGAAAAAGGAGUACUGAUCCUGUGGGUUCCUUAAAAACCAUGCUGGUGGCUAAAGUCCUUCAAGUCUGUGCCCCUGGAAAACCAUACCUGGCUUUGCAAUUUACUUUGGACAGACUGAAGAUGUUACUACACUCUGUUUCUCCUACGGACAAAGAAGAGGAAUACUAUUUUCAAGGGUCAAUAAAGGA